CUGGGGAGAAGCAGCAGAACGGAUUUUCAUUAAAUAUACAUAAAGAUGAAUACAAAGAUGUAAGCUCGACGCGAGAACUCGAACAAACUGGACCGAUCACGGAGAAUUUUCCCUGGCGAUUUCAAGCGGAACGAGUGACCGGAUACCUCUCAAACGGACCUCAAAUCAGAAACUUCGAACUGAUCUCACGUGAAAUCUAUUUUCGUUAAAAUCGGAAAAUUGAUUCUAACAAAGAAAACGACUUGCUCUUUCGUCCGUCUCCUCCUAUUCCUUGCUCUGUGACUGUGUGUGUGAGUUCCCGGCCAGAACAACAGGGAGGGUGUGGGAGGAAAACGUGAAGCGAGGUGGGGGUUGAGAGUGGUCACUGGUUUCUUCUCGUGUGGGUGUGUUGAAGAUGUUGGGAAAUGGGUGUUGGAGGAGAAACCGACGGUUGUUAGUUCUAGAAAAAUAGAGGAAUCAGUCCGCUGACAGCUUCAUCUUUUUCGAUUGAGAGAAAAAAGAAGUUGAAAUCCUGAGAAAAG
rnacentral:lncRNA from 1 species